UUUCAUUGUCUCACUGUUGCCCGAUUGCUUUGCAGGUAUAGGUGCGACACGCAACACUCAGCCCACCUGCGUCAAUUGUAUGCUGAGGGACGGUACAUUAAGGAGGAGACCGCGGCGGUGUUACAACAAAUGCAUGGGAAAGGAUGACAUGCUUCCUGAGCACGCCAAUCAUUCAUCGCAGACAGAACAGCACAUCACUCUAGUCUGGUGCCCAAGGCAAAAUAUUUCAACACACAACGUAGAAGUGCAGGUGGACCUCUUGUGACAGCUGUGUCUGUGUGAGUGCUUUGGAGGCUUUCUUUGGCAGCAGUGGUACCAGGCUGAUGAAGAGCCUAAAGAAGACAUUGACUUCAGGAUUGAGCAAGCCUGUCAUGUGCAUUCGCCUGGGUUCUCUGUGCAGCAGCGUGAGAAUACUUUGUUCAAUCUCAGCCUGACUGUGCUCAGCACCUAGUUCUCUGACGAUGUGACCCAACUUCGUGGACGAACCAGGAGGGCCGCUCCCUGCUGACUACAUUGGCGAGAUCUCCACCGCCAAGCCGCCGAAGUUCGGUGACCUCAGCCUUCACACACACAAACAAAAUCUGCUGCCUUUCUUGGUGCUAUCAUCAUAUGCCAAACCAGUGCAUCAAUCGGCCUAGUGAAUGCCUUUGUGGUUCCUACAUCAAGCUCUUAAAUGAUUGCACAGAUGACCUGUUUGUGACCACUACAUCCAGGAUGAAAGGGAAGCUACCACAUCCAGGGACUUCUUGAAUUUCUUGCAUGCAUUGUAUCAUACAUGGGUUUCUGGCCCAGCCUGGUGGAAUUCCAGUGUAAACCGCGGCGCCAGCCACUGUGGUCUACUUGUACACUUUAGAGACGUUGCACUGUACUCUGGAAGAGACAAUACAUCCUGAAAACCUGCAAAAAGACAGAAGAAAGCAAAUGAGUUGCGCUAUGGUUGUUUGUGUUGCAUCGUUUAGGAAGCCACUCUUGCAGGUGCGACUAACGCCAAGGACCUGGCAUUGCACGAACAGUGAAGGCAGAAACACUGCCGCAGACAAGGCUGCAUUAUGUGCACGUUAUGUCUCUCAGUCCAAGUAGUCGCAUAAUUGCUUUCCUGUAUUCAGUGCGGAGCUUUCAGCAAGAUAUCCAGAUCACUAGAAAGGGAUGUGGUGAUAUGAAGUGUACUGAAACGGCGAUGUGGCAUUUUGAAUGUAAAUGUACAAAUGGACGUAGGGAGGGGGUCUAAUAAAUUAUUUGCUGCCUUAAGUGAUAAUCACAAA